UGGAUGACAUGCUCUCAAACCUCGUGCCAUUCGUGAUCACUUAAAUCCAAUCUUGGACAAUUUAAAUCCAGGAAUUAUGGCACCCGAGAUUCAAGCAGCCCAUUUUGAGCUCAAACCUAUCAUGUUUAAUAUGAUAAAUUCCAUAGGGAAAUUUGGGGGCAUGCCAAAUGAAGAUGCCAGACAACAUAUUCGUAACUUC